rnacentral:lncRNA from 1 species
CCGGGAGCAGCGGACCAGAGACAGACCGCUACCUGCCUCCGUUUCCCAGAACGCUGGGACCAGCUCACCCCCAGGCGUCUCUGGAAGACACUCAACGUCCGCAUCAGCGUCUCUUCGGUCAGGCGAGCCGCCACCGCCUGCUGUGCUGGCCAGCUGUCGGCCUAAGAUCGCACGUAUGUUUUGUACCACGAGGAAGAGGUGCAGGGACGGCCAGCCUGCCUGGCCUCGGACCCCCGCCCAGCCGCCUGUGCUCCGUGAUCUUGCGCGAGGUCCUCAACCUCUGAGAGGGUCUCACGUAUAAAAGGGAAGGAUGGUGAGGAUGCUGACCUUGUGUGGCUGCUGUGGGGUCGGGUGCCUCGAGAGGCCUGGCACCCACUUAGUGCCCUCUGAGAGCUGGCUGCUGUUGCCCAUCCUCCCAGAGCUCUCGGCCUCCCUCUAAUGCCAGCUGCUGGUUCAUCUCCCCUCCGUAUGCCUGUGACGGGUCCUGGGUCAGAGGUCUUUCAGGGGCUGCUCUGAGGCAGCCCCACUCCCCACAGCAGCCUUCCCGAGGCGGUGCUGGGGUGGACCCCUCAAAGACCCAGGUAUGACACAGACACUUUUUUUUUUUUUUAAAUAUUUUUUGUAUAUUUAUUUAUGAUAGUCACACACAGAGAGAGAGAGAGAGAGAGGCAGAGACACAGGCAGAGGGAGAAGCAGGCUCCAUGCACCGGGAGCCCGAUGUGGGAUUCAAUCCCAGGUCUCCAGGAUCGCGCCCUGGGCCAAAGGGAGGCGCCAAACCACUGCGCCACCCAGGGAUCCCGACACAGGCACUUUUAAUAGGAACAUGAGAGUGACUGAGGGCAACGCACCCGGGAGUAGACACGGCACCCCAAGGCUGAGGGCAAGGGUGCCAGGAUACCCCUGCUGUCAAACACCUGUGGUCCCUAGGAAGCUGGCACCUCGGCCCCACGAGGGAGAUGGGGGUAGGCUCUCUUGGCUGGCAGGCCUGGUAUCUUCCUCCUUGGGCCCCAGGGGAGCUGGAAACAAAGUGGGACAGAGCCUGGCUCCGAGGCUGAGGGUUCCUAGGGCACACACAGGAAACACAGCCCAGCUCCCUAGGGGGCCUGGCUCCCACAGGAGUGGCCGUGUGCCUACUGCCUGGUGGAGAAGGAAGCCCCAGAGGUACCAGAGGGAUCAGCUGGAGGAGCCCAGGCUUCAGAGGCAACCAUACCUGGGUACAAGCCCCGGCUCUGCACUGCACAAGCCUCAGUGUCCCUAUCUGCAUAAAGGGGACAAGCAUCCUCUUGCCCUGCUUGCACAUGAAGGUGGUGCCCGGACAGCGGCGACCGUGACAACAGCAUCAGUAACAGGAGCGGCUGGUCGAGGGCAAGAGGGUGGCAGAGCCAGAGGACGCAGGGCCAGCAGCCCAGCAGCCUGGGGAGGGGUCGCCCCUCAUGCUUCCAGAGCCCAGACAGAACGGAAGCCGCCAACAGUGCAAACCCUAGCUUUAUUGGUCCAGGUUGUUCACAGUGAGGCUUCCCAGGGACAGGGGUCUGGGGACACCCCCCUCCCCCUGCCCGUGUGUUCUCUGCCCUGGCACCUGGGAAGAAGGAAGGGACGUGGCUCUGGGGGGUGGUGGCUACAGGGUAAUUUAGCGUGGGGCCCAGGGUCUGUUCUUCAGAGCAGGAGGUAGAAGGGAUCACAUAAAGUUCUUUAUUACAGACCUACAAAAAAUGAGAGAAUUAUAUAUUACUCUCCCUUGUUUGGGUUUCUUUUUCCUUCUUUCUUUUUACAAAACAGCAGCAGGAAAGAAAAAUGCAGGAGACAGAUGGGCCAGGCACCAGGGUGCAGAUCAGAAGGGACCAGGGCGACGUGGACCGAGCUGUCACCCGGCACGGAGCACUGUGGGCUGGCCUGGGGCUCUUUCCAGCAUCCUGGGAGGACAGAGACAAGCCCUAGUGGGAGCAGACAAGACAGUGGGUAGGAGAUGGCUGUCCCCAGGUCAGUGGCAGCACCAUUCCCCGGGUAGCCACCCUGGAGGUCAGCCGGGCACCCAUGUUUGGGGGCCUGGUCUCCAAAGCACGGGCCCAUGGGGGCCGGGCAAAAGGGAGGAGGCAGGAAGGGCCAACACGGAAGGGCUCAGAGUUCUCACGGGGCCCCUCCUCGAACUGCAGGGGCCCUGGUGGGCAAGGGCAGCCAGGCCUCUUCCCUGCUUGUCAGCCAAUCAGCUUCUUCAGGAAGGCCUCCAGCUGGUCCUCGUCCUUGAUACCCACGAAUUUGUCCACCACGUCCCCAUUCUUGAUGGCCAGCACAGUGGGCACAGCGGACACCUGGGGGAGGAGAUGGAGGGAGACCAUGUUACCUGGAGGUGAACUGUUCUCAUCGGCCAUUCCCCAGCCGUCGUGGGGAAGGCUGGUGGUUUCUGCAGGGCAGUGACUGGCCGAGCGGCAGGCGGGGCCUGUUCCCUUGGUGCAGGGGUGCUGCAGGGCCUGGAGGCCCGCCCACUGGAAAGACUUUUCCACUGUGGGCUCCUGGCGGUCCCCUUCCUCCCCGAACCGCAGGACUGACUCACUGGCCCAGUGGUUUGGCUGCAGUGACAGGAGGGAUGAAAAUAGCCCACACAGCUGCAGGCCAGGGCUGGGGGCAGGGAGCAGCUACGGGGCCAAGAGAAGCUCCCCAAGGGGCAGCCCAGCCUGGGUGGGGAUGGGGGGUAGCCCGGAGACGUGAGAGCCUGAGUCCUGGCUCUGCUCCCGGCCUCGGCACCCUCUUCUGUAAAAUGGGGGUGACAGGAUCUCCCUUGAGGACAUCCUUGAGGGUUUAGGACAGAGAUGAAAGAUUCGUAUGUAGAGCUGAGCGGCGAGGAGCCCAGGCUCUGGCAGUGGCUGACCCCAGCGUCUGCCACCGGCUCACGCUGAGCUGCUCCAGGCAGGCCCCGUCAGCACGGUCUCUGUGUUCCCAUCAGCAAAAUGGAGCUGCUGGCAGCACUUACACCAGGUCUGGGGCUGCAUGAGCAUGGCGAGCAGAGUCUAACAUGUGCCCUGCACCUGGCAGGGCCCUCAAGUGUCAGGACCUGGCAGAGGGCCCAGUGUGCAGGAGCCCCCGGCAAGUGGUGGCUACGGGGAGCACGUCAGGAGCUUCUGACACAGGCCCCAUGUGAGCCACAUGAGCUCGUGGCCGUUGAAUGGCCAGCAGGGUCCAGAAACUCAAUGACUCAUGCUGGACGGUGUGGGAUGAAGGCCUCGGCCAUGUAGGAGCUGAGGUUUAUUUAUUAGGGGGAUGGAGGCAGCAUUCUUGGCCUAUGAAGCAUGUUCUCAAGUUCCCUCAGGGGACCCGUACGGAUUCCAUGGCAUGUAAUGAGGCCCACUGCCCACUCUGGCAUCAAGCAUUUUCUGCGCCCUGGGCUCCCUGCCUGACAUUUGUAGACAUUUUUUUUUUAAAAAUGGGUAAACAGAACAAGAUAAACAUUCUUUUCUUACACAUGUUAACUACAAAGUAACAACAGCAAUUUACACAAACAUCUCAAGUCUUCACCAAUUCCGAGUACUGUCCUGCCCAUGAGUCAUCCUGGGAAGCCAGACUUAGGAGUCAGGAUGUUCAAACUGUGCCCAGGUCAGUUACAAAAGGAGCUGUGGGCCUGACAGGCCGCUCUCCCACCUCAGCUGGGUGCCACCCACCAGGUGGCAGGCCCUGCCCUCCUCCCCUCCUCCCCUCCUCCCCUCACCGGCUCUGGGUGUUCUCGGGCUCUUGCAGGGAGUGUCCUGGGGCUGAUGCAGGUGGUAACUGACACACUUCUCAGAGGGAAGAUGCAGGCAGACCCAUCUGGCAGCGGCCUGACCGUGGGUGCUGCUGCUUGUGGCCCUACCACUAGCUCCUGCCCUCGUUGUCCAUGGCUGUAACACAAGAGGUGGCAGGAACUGCAAAGGUCCAGCAUGUGGCUCACCCUGUCUCCGGGCACAGGCCAGGACCCAGAGUUGUGUAUUUAUUUGUUUUUUCAAGAUUUUUGUGGGGGGGGGACGCCUGGGUGGCUCAGUGGUUGAGCGUCUGCCUUUGGCUCAGGGUCCCACAUCAGGCUCUCUAAAUGGAGCCCGUUUCUCCCUCUGCCUGUGUCUCUGGCUUUCUCUGUAUCUCUCAUGAAUAAAUAAAUACAUAAAUAAAA